AAAAUCGUACUAUCAAAAGAUGAAAAUUAGCCUAAUGGGUUUGUUGAUGCCAAAAAAAUUAUGCGAGAACGGUUGAGAAGUGGGCCAUAACUUACGUGAUCAUAGCUACAGCACUCCCCUCACUAUUAAAACCGAUCAAUAAUGUGGGCUGAGAAGACAUCAUUAUAAAUAGUAAUUCCGAAGCCUGUAUUUAUCGUUUAUCGUUUUUCUAUGAGUUGUUUAUUUGUAAUUCUUUUACUUUUUUUUCAUUUACUAUCUUUUCUAAGAGUAAUUUGUAGAGUAGAUUUUCCUUCGAGAUCGUACGUCAUGGUAGCGUACCCUCUUUUGUAAAUAUUUUAUGAUUUUGAGCAAUAUAUGAGCUUCUUGGCUUUUCAGCCGAACCAAAAAUUUCUGUACAAUCCGUACACUCGGCUGAUCCAGCC
rnacentral:lncRNA from 1 species